rnacentral:rRNA from 1 species
GAUCCUGGCUCAGGAUGAACGCUAGCGGCAGGCUUAACACAUGCAAGUCGAGGGGCAGCAUAAUGGAUAGCAAUAUCUAUGGUGGCGACCGGCGCACGGGUGCGUAACGCGUAUGCAACCUACCUUUAACAGGGGGAUAACACUGAGAAAUUGGUACUAAUACCCCAUAAUAUCAUAGAAGGCAUCUUUUANGGUUGAAAAUUCCGAUGGUUAGAGAUGGGCAUGCGUUGUAUUAG